rnacentral:rRNA from 1 species
UACGUAGGGUGCAAGCGUUUGUCCGGAAUUAUUGGGCGUAAAGAGCUCGUAGGCGGUUUGUCGCGUCUGCUGUGAAAACCCGAGGCUCAACCUCGGGCCUGCAGUGGGUACGGGCAGACUAGAGUGCGGUAGGGGGAGAUUGGAAUUCCUGGUGUAGCGGUGGAAUGCGCAGAUAUCAGGAGGAACACCAAUGGCGAAGGCAGAUCUCUGGGCCGUAACUGACGCUGAGGAGCGAAAGCAUGGGGAGCGAACGGGG